rnacentral:rRNA from 1 species
AGAGUUUGAUCCUGGCUCAGGAUGAACGCUAGCUACAGGCUUAACACAUGCAAGUCGCGGGGUAACAUCUGGGAGAGCUUGCUCUUCCAGGAUGACGACCGGCGCACGGGUGAGUAACGCGUAUCCAACCUGGCCCAUACCACGGGAUAGCCCGUCGAAAGGCGGAUUAAUACCGUAUGCUGUCAUUAAGAUGCAUAUAUUGAUGACGAAAGGACUGGCGGUAUGGGAUGGGGAUGCGUCUGAUUAGCUUGUUGGCGGGGUAACGGCCCACCAAGGCGACGAUCAGUAGGGGUUCUGAGAGGAAGGUCCCCCACAUUGGAACUGAGACACGGUCCAAACUCCUACGGGAGGCAGCAGUGAGGAAUAUUGGUCAAUGGGCGCAAGCCUGAACCAGCCAAGUAGCGUGAGGGAUGACUGCCCUACGGGUUGUAAACCUCUUUUGUUUGGGAAUAAAGUGCGGGACGCGUCCCGCAUUGCAUGUACCAUUUGAAUAAGGACCGGCUAAUUCCGUGCCAGCAGCCGCGGUAAUACGGAAGGUCCGGGCGUUAUCCGGAUUUAUUGGGUUUAAAGGGAGCGCAGGCCGUGGGUUAAGCGUGUCGUGAAAUUCCGUCGCUCAACGGCGGACGUGCGGCGCGAACUGGUCCACUUGAGUACGCGGGACGUUGGCGGAAUUCGUGGUGUAGCGGUGAAAUGCUUAGAUAUCACGAAGAACUCCGAUUGCGAAGGCAGCUGACGGUAGCGCAACUGACGCUGAGGCUCGAAAGUGCGGGUAUCGAACAGGAUUAGAUACCCUGGUAGUCCGCACGGUAAACGAUGGAUGCCCGCUAUUCGCCCACCUGGGCGAGUGGCCAAGCGAAAGCGUUAAGCAUCCCACCUGGGGAGUACGCCGGCAACGGUGAAACUCAAAGGAAUUGACGGGGGCCCGCACAAGCGGAGGAACAUGUGGUUUAAUUCGAUGAUACGCGAGGAACCUUACCCGGGCUUGAAUUGCAGAGGAAGGAUUUAGAGAUAAUGACGCCCUUCGGGGCCUCUGUGAAGGUGCUGCAUGGUUGUCGUCAGCUCGUGCCGUGAGGUGUCGGCUUAAGUGCCAUAACGAGCGCAACCCCUCUCCGUAGUUGCCAUCGGGUGAUGCCGGGCACUCUGCGGACACUGCCACCGUAAGGUGUGAGGAAGGUGGGGAUGACGUCAAAUCAGCACGGCCCUUACGC